GACGAACGCUGGCGGCGUGCCUAAUACAUGCAAGUCGAGCGGAUGGAAGGAAGCUUGCUUCCUAAAGUCAGCGGCGGACGGGUGAGUAACACGUGGGCAACCUGCCCCUAAGCUCGGGAUAACUUCGGGCAACCGGAGCUAAUACCGGAUAUGAUCAUCCCUCACAUGAGGGAUGAUGGAACGGCGGUUUCGGCUGUCACUUAGGGAUCGGCCCGCGGCGCAUUAGCUAGUGGGUGAGGUAACGGCUCACCAAGGCGACGAUGCGUAGCCGACCUGAGAGGGUGAUCGGCCACACUGGGACUGAGACACGGCCCAGACGCCUACGGGAGGCAGCAGUAGGGAAUCUUCCGCAAUGGACGAAAGUCUGACGGAGCAACGCCGCGUGAGUGAAGAAGGUUUUCGGAUCGUAAAACUCUGUUGUCAGGGAAGAACAAGUACCAUAGUAACUGAUGGUACCUUGACGGUACCUGACCAGAAAGCCACGGCUAACUACGUGCCAGCCGCCGCAGUAAUAC
rnacentral:rRNA from 1 species